rnacentral:tRNA from 1 species
GGGGAUGUGGCUCAAGUGGUAGAGUGCUCGCCUAGCAAAUGUGAGGCACUGAGUUCGAUCCUCAGCACCACA